UUACUAUCUUCAUCGUUAGAAUUGGCGCGAAAUUCGAACGUGCGUUAUCAGUUGAACUUGCCCCUCCCUGGGGACAUUAGCAUGCAGCUUGUGAGUCGCCACGUCAGCUCGCUAGAGUAUUUAAGCAGCUCCAUAUAUAAAUUCAAGGCCUUUUCAGAAAUCUACGCAAGCCGUUUGCUCGUUAUUUCACUUUAAUGGCUGCCCCGGUUCAACCUGCCCCCGAAGCUUUGCAAGCGCUCGUUGGAGCUGCUGUCGCUCAGGGAGCUGACGCGGUUCCUGGAGACUAACAAACGCCUAUUGAAAACAAUGAGCUCGGGCAGUUGAGAGAGCGGAUUGAGGAGCUGCGUAAGCUACAAGACUCGGGGUCUGUGGACUCAACGCUUCGCCAUCUAAGAGAAAUGUUGGCCAAGAAGUUGCCAUAGCUAAAGAGAUUCAGAAAGCGCUUAAAUCUGCGUCCUCUGCAACUCCUCGGCGCUUAGAGUCUGGCCCGUACUACUGAGACUCGUGUCCUUCUGUAAUAUGUUAUUUCUGUGGUCGCAGAGGACACAUAAGCAGAAACUGUUAUGCCAAACGAGGUGGUCGUGGCCAAGGUCGCGGCUAUUAAUAUGAUCGAGUCAUUGUUUCAAUUUCAUGUUAAUGUAUUUCUCUAUAAAGGGUUAAUUCCAGGUGUAGUUACUUCAUUUUUCCCGCUUCUCUGUGGAAUAUUUUUAUUAUACUUUAUAUCUUCACAGUUUA